rnacentral:tRNA from 1 species
UGGAAAGAGAGGCCUAAACCCCAUAAGUGGAAUUACAAGCCACCGCCUAAAUUCAGCCAUCUUACC